CCUCAAUCACUUUUCUUCAAAAAAUUUCCAGAUUCUUCCAGCAACAAUUUUGAUCCAAUUUUACUUCAAAUUUUAUUGACUUAUCGAAAUACAUCAAUCUCUAAUUUCAUUUUGUUCGAAAUUAGAAAAAUCGCGUUAUCAAUUGUUUGCUAAAUCGAUCGAAUUGAUUCGAUUAAAAAUUUUACACUUCAGUUUGAUAACGAGUUCAGGUUAUACAGACAAUCUCUCGAAAUUAAGUUAAUUUGAAGAAACUCACUGAAAAGGCUAAAAGAAAAAAAAAAACAGAGAAUGGUCGGGAAUGGAGUUGAUGUUUUCUAUUUGGUUUUUUCUUUGGAGGUGACGGAACUGCUAUUCUCACUGGUGUUUGAUGAAAUUCCUCACAGAACCAAAUACAUGGUAAUGGAUUGUUUAAAGGAGAUCUUGUAUGGAGUUUUAUUGAUUCACGAAUUUGAAUGGUAUUGGUUCAUAUAGAACUUGAUGUAUUUGUACUUGCAUAUAUGCUUAAGUGGUAUUGGUAUUAAAUAUGACGGUUCAUUUCAGUGGAGAAAAGAUGCUUUGGGAAGACAGUAAAAGUAGCAGAAAGAUUUAGUGCCGCAAUGUACAACUGCGCAUCCAUUGGUGAAAAUGAUCAUGGGCUGUGAACUUUAUUAUGUACUGGACUACCGUCUAUGCUCUGCUAAAUGAACUUGUAAUUCUCCUACUGACAAAUGACAAUAUACUGCUUGUAAUUUAUGUCUAUGCUCUGCUAAAAGAGCUUGUAAUUAUCUUGCUUACAAGUGACAAUAUACUGAUUGUAAUCGGUGUAUGCUCUGCCAAAAGAGCUUCCAUCAAAUACAAUUUGCUGCUACUGUUAAACA